rnacentral:tRNA from 1 species
CGGGGAGUGGCGCAGUUGGUAGCGCGCCUGCUUUGGGAGCAGGAGGUCCCGGGUUCGAAUCCCGGCUCCCCGA